rnacentral:rRNA from 1 species
UACAGAGGUCUCAAGCGUUGUUCGGAUUCAUUGGGCGUAAAGGGUGCGUAGGCGGCGCGGUAAGUCGGGUGUGAAAUCUUGGAGCUUAACUCCGAAACUGCAUUCGAUACUGCCGUGCUUGAGGACUGGAGAGGAGACUGGAAUUUACGGUGUAGCGGUGAAAUGCGUAGAUAUCGUAAGGAAGACCAGUGGCGAAGGCGGGUCUCUGGACAGUUCCUGACGCUGAGGCGCGAAAGCGUGGGGAGCGAACCGG